rnacentral:rRNA from 1 species
CCUACGGGGGGCAGCAGUAGGGAAUCUUCCACAAUGGGCGAAAGCCUGAUGGAGCAACGCCGCGUGGGUGAAGAAGGUCUUCGGAUCGUAAAACCCUGUUGUUAGAGAAGAAAGUGCGUGAGAGUAACUGUUCACGUUUCGACGGUAUCUAACCAGAAAGCCACGUCUAACUACGUGCCAGCAGCCGCGGUAAUCCGUAGGUGGCAAGCGUUAUCCGGAUUUAUUGGGCGUAAAGGGAACGCAGGCGGUCUUUUAAGUCUGAUGUGAAAGCCUUCGGCUUAACCGGAGUAGUGCAUUGGAAACUGGGAGGCUUGAGUGCAGAAGAGGAGAGUGGAACUCCAUGUGUAGCGGUGAAAUGCGUAGAUAUAUGGAAGAACACCAGUGGCGAAAGCGGCUCUCUGGUCUGUAACUGACGCUGAGGUUCGAAAGCGUGGGUAGCAAACAGGAUUAGAUACCCCUGUAGUC